AGUGAACGCUGGCGGUAGGCCUAACACAUGCAAGUCGAACGGCAGCACAGUAAGAGCUUGCUCUUACGGGUGGCGAGUGGCGGACGGGUGAGGAAUACAUCGGAAUCUACUUUUUCGUGGGGGAUAACGUAGGGAAGCUUACGCUAAUACCGCAUACGACCUACGGGUGAAAGCAGGGGAUCUUCGGACCUUGCGCGAUUGAAUGAGCCGAUGUCGGAUUAGCUAGUUGGCGGGGUAAAGGCCCACCAAGGCGACGAUCCGUAGCUGGUCUGAGAGGAUGAUCAGCCACACUGGAACUGAGACACGGUCCAGACUCCUACGGGAGGCAGCAGUGGGGAAUAUUGGACAAUGGGCACAAGCCUGAUCCAGCCAUACCGCGUGGGUGAAGAAGGCCUUCGGGUUGUAAAGCCCUUUUGUUGGGAAAGAAAAGCAGCAGGUUAAUACCCCGCUGUUCUGACGGUACCCAAAGAAUAAGCACCGGCUAACUUCGUG
rnacentral:rRNA from 1 species